rnacentral:tRNA from 1 species
GGUGAGGUGGCCGAGUGGCUGAAGGCGCCGGUUUGCUAAACCGGUGAGGGGGGAACUCCUCCCAGGGUUCGAAUCCCUGCCUCACCGCCA